rnacentral:misc_RNA from 1 species
AAAAAAAAGUGAAAUGUGAAACUAUUAGGGGGUCCCUACUAAAUCCACUCACUGAAAAUCAUGCAUAUUCUAUCUCUGUUUGCACCUACAUUGUCUUUGUCUCCCACUUUUCAAGCUAAGCAAUGCAACAUUGUGUUAGUGUAGUAUUAAACUUUCAAGGCUUCAGGGCUGGAAAGUUUUGGAAUGUUAUUGGUGAUGAUGAUAUAUUUCGAGUUUGUCAAAACAACUGUAAAAAGGUUUUAUUGAUUAGAAGAAGGCGUAUGAUAAAAUAAAUUCUUGAGAAUACCUUGCAUUGUCUUCGCUUUGGAACUCUGUGCUUAUGAGUUGUGUUAGAUCGAUUUCUCUGUAUGUUCUUCUGAAUGGUCAACCUUUGCCAUGAUUUUCGGGUCUUAGACGAGGGGAUACUUUAUAUUUUUUAGUUCUGUAUCUUGAGUGCUUGGGCCGAAGUGGUUUGUUUUGCAGCUGAUAUCCUUCCUGUUAACAAGGCUGCGAUUGGACACUCUUAUUUGUUAAAUGCUAACUUGGGAUUGCACUUCUAAGGGUGUCUUCUCAUGUAAUUCCUCCUAUAGAGCCAUAUUUGAGGAUUCUUAUGUGGAUGGCCUCUAGGUCUUUAUACAUUUGGGUUUAGAAAUUGUGGAUAGUCUCCCUUGCAUACGUUUGAUCGUUUGCUCACUAAUUGUACCUUGACCCAAAGUAUUCCAAGCCCAUUCAUGUGAGCCCA